rnacentral:rRNA from 1 species
AUACGGAGGGUGCAAGCGUUAAUCGGAAUUACUGGGCGUAAAGGGCGCGUAGGCGGUCUAUCAAGUCAGGUGUGAAAUCCCACGGCUCAACCGUGGAGGUGCAUCUGAAACUGAUAGACUUGAGUAUGGGAGAGGAAAGUGGAAUUCCCGGUGUAGAGGUGAAAUUCGUAGAUAUCGGGAGGAACACCAGUGGUGAAGGCGACUUUCUGGACCAAUACUGACGCUGAGGCGCGAAAGCGUGGGGAGCAAACAGGAUUAGAAACCCUAGUAGUCC